ACACACGUAUUGCACUUAGGAUAUAACGUGCUCAAGAAAUACCCAACUCCUUGACAAUCGGCUAAACGUUAUUGUCAAAACUUGUUUAAUUUCAGUGAAAAGUUCAAUCGAGUCCACUCGUUUUUUUAUACUCGAUACGAUCAUUUCAAUUUUUACGUUCUCGUGCACACAAAUAUUUUAGGCUCAUUUCUUCAAGGCACCAUUUGUCUCACGAACAUGAAUUCUCAGGAAUUUCGAGCUUGGUUCUACCGCAUCAUUGAAAUUCUUCAAUUCAGCGGGCCAAGGGAAAAGCGUCGAGCGAAAGGUCGACGCAGCCAGGCGAACGUUUCCACGACGAGCACCUGCUGUCGCAGCGAAGCUGUUGAAUAAACACAAAGACGACCUCGAGAGGGGCACGCGAAGCAAAUCUCGAAGGUUGACCCACUUCCACGCAAUAUGAACGGAUACCCCAUUGACCCAGGUUCGUUGCUGGGCAACGGCACACCAUAAGAACCCCCUGCAUCUGGCUGUUAUACGAAGAGGGAGAGCGUUGAAUAUUCCUGUGAAUGAAACAUUGAAUGGACACGCCGAGUAUCCUCGCGCUGGCUUCAUACGAGACUUUCAAUGGGAACUCGUUCUCGACGAGUCUUACAAGAUCGUUUCAAAGCACUCGGAAAACAACAGGCCAAGUAUUUUAACGAAAAAAUUCAGUGAGAUACGAUAAAGAUUUGUUUAAUGAAUGCUUGUGAGGCGAGUCCUCGAUUUCUCAAAAGUGUGGACAAAAAUUAACGAAGUGGAAGACAAAAAGGGCCCAGCUUGGGCCUCUUCGAAUCGUCGUAUUGUCUCAAGCUCACAGGACAAAUGUUCGGACUUCGUCGCGAUGAAUUCGGACGAUAAUUAUUCACGGAUUUAUGAAGUUUUAAAAAGUGUGUGUGCGUGUGUUUUUUUUCAUGAUACACUGACAGUUGGGGGAGUGGAAAAUGUUUACUCAAAAUUAUACCUGCCUAUGGAAAUGACGUCGAAGUUUGCAACGAUCGAAAUGAUUUUAAAAAACUCGCUCCAACAGUUCCAGUAAUUCUCCAAUUUUGUUUCCUACCGAAUUUGCAAUUUUUCAAUCCACACCAAUGAUUUCGUGAGACAAAAAAAUAAUGUGUUACAAAUGUUCGUUGGUCUCCAACGUUGCAAACUUCAGCGUCGUCCUACGGAGGUCAAAUCGAAGGCUGACGAAUUUCUCACUAAAUUCAUCGAUGCUUUCAAGACACUGGAAUAAUAGAUGCUUGUGGCAGUGUUGGAAAGCCUCGUGCAAGUACAUGAAUAUGUGAACGGGUGGCAAAUGUACGCAAACACUGCGAAGAUCACCCCUAGCGGAAGCAGCCUUGGAAAACUGGGACUUUGAACCUUAUUGCACUCGUGCCUCUUGCAGAGAAGUUGGAAGAGGGACAACUUCAGGGGUAGUUUUAGCUUUUCGCACGUAUUUUGUGGAUUUAGUAGUUAUAAGGGAUAACCCAGGAGCACGCACGAACCACUUCAGGGAGUAUAACGGAAAGAGAGAAAAAAGGAGAGAAGAAAGAGAGAGAGAGAGACAGUGCAAAAGGAUGAAAAAGCAAGAGAGCAGACCGUACAGCGAGUGACGUCAGAGAGCGACUGGCCAAUCGGGUCGCCGCAUUCUCCUGACGUCACUACCUCCCCCAAAAUGACGUGCAUUCUAGAGGGGUGCAAGACAGCGAGAAGGGGUUAUUCGGUUUUUGCGAGGGUCUGGAGAGGGAGGCAGUGGAAAAAGGAGAGGUUUACUAACCGAACGGUUAGAGGCCGGUAAUGGUUUGAACCGUAUUUUGACCCAAUUAACGAGGCUAAAUGGUUGCCGUGGAAAAUUGGCUACCCUGGAGUCCAGACGCUCUGGACUUUUGGUCGAGUCGAGCUCCGAAGCCUCGUCGAAUAUAAAAAAAAAGAUUUCCUCAAUGUCGUUGGAUUAACGGAAAUUACGUACGCACGAAAAACAUUCGAAAGCCGAAGCGUUCCUCAUUCAAUAGCACGAAGAUUUUCGAUUCUAAUACUGCACCGGAUUCAUUAACUUCCGACGAUCACCCUCAGUUUGUGAGCUUAUUAUUAUUGGGCCAAGCGCGUUAAUUCGAUAAACUCGAUGAAAUUGUAUUUUCUUUCACUUUUUUCAAAGUUGUUUUUAUAAUUUGUUCACGCAUUGAAAUAAAACUCAAGGAAAUUGUACUUUUCAAUGGAAUUCAAACUGAACGAGCGUUCGUGAAUCGGGGCUACUCGUCAACCGAAUUAUUAGUUUUUAUUAAAACUUUUAUUGAGAGAAUGAACCAACGAAUCGGUGGCUCUCAACCAUUAGUCGGCCUGUUCUUCGUACGAAUGAGGAGAGCUCGAAGAUGCCUUUCAAAGGUUUUUCACUCCUGCAAGGCGACUCCAAUCCUAUCGAUUGGAGUCGCCAAUUGAGUGGUUUACUUCCAAACACAAUUUUGUUUUUUCUCGAGAAAUUAAUUUCGUGACUUUGGCAAUUUUGGGAUUCGAAUAUCUCUGGAUGAGGUGACGAUAAGUAGACGAGAAAAUGUUCAAUGACUUUACAGCCAUUAAAGCGGAACUCGGAACGCUUGAAAUUUCAUGUCGUUAACCCUGAUUCUUGCCACUUGUAACUUAUUGAGUUAUGAAUUUUGAAUUGUGCACCGCGGCGGGGGUGGUCUUGCUGGAACUGGCGAUUGGUGAAGGUUGGGCAAUGUACCAGAAGGAACGAAGCAGGAGAGAGAGGAAGAAAGAAAAAAAAUGUAAAAGUUUGGGAGACCGGAAGAAUACUUCAAAAUUAUUUGGGCACCAAUUGAAUUGGAAUCGAUUUUCCAAAAUCAGUGUAAUCGACGAGAACAAAAGACAAUUUUGUA